rnacentral:rRNA from 1 species
UCCAGACUCCUACGGGAGGCAGCAGUGAGGAAUAUUGGUCAAUGGUCGGGAGACUGAACCAGCCAAGCCGCGUGAGGGAGGAAGGUACAGAGUAUCGUAAACCUCUUUUGUCAGGGGACAAAGACUGGGACGCGUCCCCGGAUGAGUGUACCUGAAGAAAAAGCAUCGGCUAACUCCGUGCCAGCAGCCGCGGUAAUACGUAGGGGGCAAGCGUUAUCCGGAAUUAUUGGGCGUAAAGAGUACGUAGGUGGCAACCUAAGCGCAGGGUUUAAGGCAAUGGCUCAACCAUUGUUCGCCCUGCGAACUGGGAUGCUUGAGUGCAGGAGAGGAAAGCGGAAUUCCUAGUGUAGCGGUGAAAUGCGUAGAUAUUAGGAGGAACACCAGUGGCGAAGGCGGCUUUCUGGACUGUAACUGACACUGAGGUACGAAAGCGUGGGGAGCAAACAGGAUUAGAUACCCCGGUA